UUUGAUUCUCGUAAUCGGC
rnacentral:misc_RNA from 1 species